rnacentral:rRNA from 1 species
UACGUAGGGUGCGAGCGUUAAUCGGAAUUACUGGGCGUAAAGCGUGCGCAGGCGGUUUUGUAAGCCAGGUGUGAAAUCCCCGGGCUCAACCUGGGAAUGGCAUUUGGGACUGCAAGGCUGGAGUGCGGCAGAGGAGACUGGAAUUCCUGGUGUAGCAGUGAAAUGCGUAGAUAUCAGGAGGAAUACCGAUGGCGAAGGCAGCCCCCUGGGCUAACACUGACGCUCAGGCACGAAAGCGUGGGGAGCAAACAGG